rnacentral:piRNA from 1 species
UGGGUGUGGUAGGGCACCUAUAGUCCC